UACGUAGGGGGCAAGCGUUGUCCGGAAUUAUUGGGCGUAAAGCGCGUGUAGGCGGCUCGGUAAGUCUGCUGUGAAAGUCCAAGGCUCAACCUUGGAAAGCCGGUGGAUACUGUCGAGCUCGAGUCCGGAAGAGGCGAGUGGAAUUCCUGGUGUAGCGGUGAAAUGCGCAGAUAUCAGGAGGAACACCAAUGGCGAAGGCAGCUCGCUGGGACGGUACUGACGCUGAGACGCGAAAGCGUGGGAGCAAACAGG
rnacentral:rRNA from 1 species